rnacentral:rRNA from 1 species
GAUGAACGCUGACAGAAUGCUUAACACAUGCAAGUCAACUUGAAUUUGGGUUUUUAACUUAGAUUUGGGUGGCGGACGGGUGAGUAACGCGUAAAGAACUUGCCUCACAGCUAGGGACAACAUUUAGAAAUGAAUGCUAAUACCUGAUAUUAUGAUUUUAAGGCAUCUUAGAAUUAUGAAAGCUAUAAGCACUGUGAGAGAGCUUUGCGUCCCAUUAGCUAGUUGGAGAGGUAACAGCUCACCAAGGCGAUGAUGGGUAGCCGGCCUGAGAGGGUGAACGGCCACAAGGGGACUGAGACACGGCCCUUACUCCUACGGGAGGCAGCAGUGGGGAAUAUUGGACAAUGGACCGAGAGUCUGAUCCAGCAAUUCUGUGUGCACGAUGAAGUUUUUCGGAAUGUAAAGUGCUUUCAGUUGGGAAGAAAAAAAUGACGGUACCAACAGAAGAAGUGACGGCUAAAUACGUGCCAGCAGCCGCGGUAAUACGUAUGUCACGAGCGUUAUCCGGAUUUAUUGGGCGUAAAGCGCGUCUAGGUGGUUAUGUAAGUCUGAUGUGAAAAUGCAGGGCUCAACUCUGUAUUGCGUUGGAAACUGUAUAACUAGAGUACUGGAGAGGUAAGCGGAACUACAAGUGUAGAGGUGAAAUUCGUAGAUAUUUGUAGGAAUGCCGAUGGGGAAGCCAGCUUACUGGACAGAUACUGACGCUAAAGCGCGAAAGCGUGGGUAGCAAACAGG